AAACGUCAAAUCGUAUGACGUAUCACUGAGUGUUUAUGAAUAUAAUAUACUUUUGUUCCAAAUGCCUCAAUGCAGUGCGUUAAAUUGUAAAACAGAGGAAUACAUUUAUUUCCAAAGGAAAGUAAACGUAGAAAGCAAUGGGAAUCUGCGUUACGUAUAAAAACUUCGAAGCUAGUAGCACAGCACGAUUGUGUGUUGCGCAUUUUACAGAAAAAGAUUAUUACGGGAAAAUCAAUUAUACAGGUUAUGAGCUCCUUGCAAAAUUUCUUAAAAAGACAGCUGUGCUAUCUGUGUUCUUCUUAACGAAGAUAAAACCAGAAAAUCCAGCUGCUGUGGCACAUCAACAACGUAUUGAACGAAGAAGUCAGUCGAGUAACAAAUGUAGAUGAUUCACAACCAUCAAGUAGCAAAGUUAACCUAAUAAGUGACAGAGACAAUUUACUGGAAGUUGAUCAUGAAGAAGCAGUCAAAACAGAAGACAACAGUGCAGUAGGAUGUACAUAUAUUAUGCAUGAAUUUAUAUCUAAGGGCACUCAAGUUGAUCAAGAACACAAAUAUGGGUUUAUGAAUAGAUAUAAAGAUGAUAAUGCCACUAUUAAGUUUUACACAGGUUUUGAAUCAUAUAAAAAUUGAAUUUAGUCUACUCAGCUCUUAGUCCAGUGGUUCACAAAAUAAAAUAUUAUGGCAGCAAUGUGAUUAUUCUUAGCAGUGAUUCUAAUUCUAAUUUAUUAGUUGGUGCAAUACCUGGUAGCUUGCUGUUAUAUUGUUCUCAAGCAUUUGCAGGAUUGAUAAGUGAUCAGUAGGCAGUGGAACAAAGUGACCUUUUAGCAAAAUGUGAAAGUGGUAGUAGUAUACUGACUGACAGAGGAUUUAUGAUACAAUAUAUAUUUCAUCAGACAAAAAUGUGACCAUUAGGAUUCCCAGUUUCUUAAAAGAAAAAUUUCAGUUGCCUGGUCUUAAUGUAAUAAAAGAUAGGGAGCUUGCAAACAAAGGAGUUCAUAUAGAAAGAAUAAUAGGAUUAACAAAGACAAACAAAAUUUAAAAAUGAAUUAGACCAUAACUAUAUCCCAAUAGUGAGCAAAAUCUUUUUUUAUGUUUUAUGUGCUAAACAUCUACAAUUUCAGGAAUUAUACUAUUACUAUAUUGUGAAAGAUAUUAGAUAAAAAGAUGUAAUUAUUUCAAUUUAUUUAUUAAUUGUAAAUAGUUCUUAUACACAUACUUAUUUACAUUUCUGGUUCUAAAUUAUGUACAUAAAAGUUUAACAAAUUUGUCAACAUGCCAUUAAUAAAUGAGUCAUCUCUA